rnacentral:rRNA from 1 species
UACGUAGGGGGCAAGCGUUGUCCGGAAUUAUUGGGCGUAAAGAGCGUGUAGGCGGUCCGGUAAGUCAGCUGUGAAAGUCAAGGGCUCAACCCUUGAAUGCCGGUUGAUACUGUCGGGCUAGAGUCCGGAAGAGGCGAGUGGAAUUCCCGGUGUAGCGGUGAAAUGCGCAGAUAUCGGGAGGAACACCAAUGGCGAAGGCGGGUCUCUGGGCAGUAACUGACGCUGAGGAGCGAAAGCGUGGGGAGCGAACAGG